rnacentral:rRNA from 1 species
AGCGAACGCUGGCGGCAGGCUUAACACAUGCAAGUCGAGCGGGUGUAGCAAUACAUCAGCGGCAGACGGGUGAGUAACGCGUGGGAAUGUACCUUUUGGUUCGGAACAACCCAGGGAAACUUGGGCUAAUACCGGAUAAGCCCUUACGGGGAAAGAUUUAUCGCCGAAAGAUCGGCCCGCGUCUGAUUAGCUAGUUGGUGAGGUAAUGGCUCACCAAGGCGACGAUCAGUAGCUGGUCUGAGGGGAUGAUCAGCCACAUUGGGACUGAGACACGGCCCAAACUCCUACGGGAGGCAGCAGUGGGGAAUAUUGGACAAUGGGGGCAACCCUGAUCCAGCCAUGCCGCGUGAGUGAUGAAGGCCCUAGGGUUGUAAAGCUCUUUUGUGCGGGAAGAUAAUGACGGUACCGCAAGAAUAAGCCCCGGCUAACUUCGUGCCAGCCGCCGCCGUAAUAC